rnacentral:lncRNA from 1 species
CAGGACCUACCACAGGCAAAAAUCUGCUCUAUGAAAAAUUGAAGAUGAAAGAAAAGGAGGUUAUGUCAUUUCUGCACAACUUAGAGAUGGAGUACACUGAGGCCCGAGAGAACAACCAGGAGCUCAAGAAGGAGAUAAAUGUCUAUCGGUAAUAACCUGCACAGCCGGCUCCUGAUGGAGAAGAAUCUUAUAAAGAAGAAGUUGGUGAUAUUGAAGCAGGAGAGCAAGAAAGUACAGACUGAUUGGGCCCUCAUUCAUCAAUAUUUGGUGGAUUUGCACCUGAGUGGUAAAGAUGAACAGGAGAAGACCAGCAACCUUGAGACUCAAGAACAUCAGGUCUCAGAAACUUCAAGAGAGCUGGGAUUGCCCACAGCCCAAGAAUAGAGCAUCCUGCAGAAUAAAUUGCCACCCCAAGAGCCCCCUGCUGAGCACCAUCCCCAGCAUCCACAAUCUUCCUUGGAUGAAUCUUCUUCCAUAGAGU